AACGAACGCUGGCGGCAGGCCUAACACAUGCAAGUCGAGCGCCCUUUCGGGGGAGCGGCGGACGGGUGAGUAACGCGUGGGAAUAUGCCCUUCUCUACGGAAUAGCCUCGGGAAACUGAGAGUAAUACCGUAUACGCCCUAUGGGGGAAAGAUUUAUCGGGGAAGGAUUAGCCCGCGUUGGAUUAGGUAGUUGGUGGGGUAAUGGCCUACCAAGCCGACGAUCCAUAGCUGGUUUGAGAGGAUGAUCAGCCACACUGGGACUGAGACACGGCCCAGACUCCUACGAGAGGCAGCAGUGGGGAAUCUUAGACAAUGGGGGCAACCCUGAUCUAGCCAUGCCGCGUGAGUGAUGAAGGCCUUAGGGUUGUAAAGCUCUUUCAGCUGGGAAGAUAAUGACGGUACCAGCAGAAGAAGCCCCGGCUAACUCCGUG
rnacentral:rRNA from 1 species